rnacentral:rRNA from 1 species
CAACGAGCGCAACCCUUUUCCUUAUUUGCCAGCACUUCGGGUGGGAACUUUAAGGAUACUGCCAGUGACAAACUGGAGGAAGGCGGGGACGACGUCAAGUCAUCAUGGCCCUUACGGCCAGGGCUACACACGUGCUACAAUGGUCGGUACAAAGGGUUGCUACACAGCGAUGUGAUGCUAAUCUCAAAAAGCCGAUCGUAGUCCGGAUUGGAGUCUGCAACUCGACUCCAUGAAGUCGGAAUCGCUAGUAAUCGCGGAUCAGAAUGCCGCGGUGAAUACGUUCCCGGGCCUUGUACACACCGCCCGUG